UACAAAUCUUUGGCACAAUGGUGGAGCACA
rnacentral:piRNA from 1 species